ensembl:lncRNA
UAAUACUUUAUUAUCAUUGGUCACCAGUCAAAAUAUAUAAGGUAGUAUUUUGGAAGGAGUAAAGUUUCCCUCUAUUUCUACAAAUGAAAACGAGCUAUUCCAUAAACAUUGUAGCAAUGUACUUGAUGGUAUGAAAAGGGAAUUGUUUUAGAUCAUCAAGGCACUUGGAGAGACUGUUUCCUUCUCCAAGUCUUAAAAGGCAUACAUUUCUCAUCUAUUUACCUUUUCUUUAUGACCUGUUUCUUGCACACUAAACAACAGAUUGGUUCUGACCACUAAUGAAUGUCUGCCUAACAAUACAGCCCUCUAUUUUAUGUUUUGCUUUCAAAAUUAGAAGCCAUUAUUCCACAAAGACAGAGUACAAAGAGCGCCGACACAAGGUAUUGCCAAAAAGCCACAAGUAGUAUUAAAACAUGCCAGAACACUUAACAUUAAGCUAUCAUUCCUCUCUAAAACUUCUGUUGCCAAACUGCUCACAAAAUCUGGAAGCUCAAAGACAGGUUUCAAGAGCAAUUAAAUUCUCCAAAAGCAAAACUGUACAAAAUUAUGCCCUCUUCUUAUGUCUCCAUUUAUAGACAACAUUUUCUCUGGAUCUUAAUUAAGAUAACGAUGCACACCUGUGUCAACAUUCUCCAGCAAGACAGCCUUAUCAAUCAUAAUCCUUUAAGUACACUCGAAAACAGCAAAGCGAUAUGACAGAAGCAAUCUGUUGCCUUUUCUGAUGCUGGUGUUGUGUCUCUGCCACAAGAAAGACGAGAUCUUUAAAAUCCAGCAGAUCUACUUUUGUAAGUCUUUAAAGUUUUAGCUGUAAACAGAUAUUACACUAAAUAAACAGUCGUCACCUCCUUUGCACUUGAUAGAAACAAUGACAACUCUACCUGUCCAAAACUUGAAGAGCAAGCGCCAUGCCACAUCUUGGCAGUACAGUCGUAGCUCUUAUUUUAAAGCUCUAUGUUUUAAGAGCUAGGCAUAACUGGAUCCGUGCAGGCAUGACAAACCAAUAAACCCUUGGCAAGUUUUAAAAUGAAGCUUAACAAGGCUACAUUAAAAAACAAUCCGAAUAACCUAUCUCUAGUACAACAUGUUUCGAAAUAUACGAAUGCAGCAGCAAGGGGAAGAAAAAGUCUUGGUGACUUGGCAUGAAUUUAGAUAGGUCCUACCUCUGCUGGUGGAAAAAGAGCUUCAGCAACAAGAGAGCCGGAACUACAGCUAACAAGUGAGCAAGUCCCCAAAUAGAAAAGCUGAUGAACGGAAAAGAAAAGGUGUGUGUGUGUGUGUGUGUGUGUGUGUGUGUGUGUGUAAAGAAAAGGUGUGUGUGUGUGUGUGUGUGUGUGUGUGUGUGUGUGUGUGUGUGUGUGUGUGUGUGUGUGUGUGUGUGUGUUGGGGGGUUGAUCCUUCCCAGUAUCAAGAUAAAAAGUUAAAACCUUGUGUUUACCUAGCGAGAAUAUAAAACCUUUCUUAUAAACAGGAAGAAAGGCCGCCAGAUGCUCUGUGAAUUCCGUCUGCCUGCUAAUGAUCAGCCUUAGCCUUCCCUCACUUAUUAACACAAUUCUGUAUCUGACGCAGGCGGCUGAGGUCAGCCGAGCAGCAGAGCCAUCAAUGUGCAAAUAAAGCAGAAAAUAGAGACAUCCUUAAGAAAUGAGCCUUAAAUUUGAUGUAGAACGGAGGUGACAACCACGGAAACAGAACCAUAAAUUCUAAAGGCUCCAAUAUCUUGCAAGAUUCUUUCUAGUCCUUCACACCAAAAAGAAGACAGUAGUAGAAAAAAACAGGGUGGGGAGCAAGUUGGGGAGGGGGAACAGAAACAGCGAAGCCGCCCAAGUGGCAGGAUUAUGUAAUGAGGAUGUCUGCGUGACAGACUCGGGCUCUCGGUGGCACAAACCUCCUUGGCUCGCUUUCAGAAGUCGUCGUCCUGGACGAGAGCCGAAACACUGAUUCAGGGGGACACGCGUGGGCCCGGGGGACACGCUCACGCGUGCCUUCCUGCACGCGGACUGAAGCACCCGCCUGGCGGGUCUCACGCUCUGGCGGCCCACGCGUGGGGCCCGGCCGUGUCCAAGACACCCGCUUGGUGCGCCGCUCUGCGCGGGCCGCGGACGCUCCCUCGUGGCAGGCCGCUCCGACCGUUAGCUGGGCUGAGCGGGCGGAGCCGGGGGCGGUGCGGUUGCAGGAGGCGGGGACCCUCGCGUCGGGGCGGAGACGCUCCCUGCAGACACCCGAACCUACCCGGAACCCGGAACGGUCAGCCCGAGAGGCAGCCUCAGGCCGUCGCGCGCUCCCCGGGGCUCCGGCCCGGCGCGCCGCUCCGCCUGGCUCACAGCCGCCCGCCUCAGCGGCGGACGGCUUCUGGUCUCCAUGACAAUACGCAGCCGAAGCCACGCCCAGCCACGCCCCCUCAGCGCUGGGACUCCGAAGGAAGCGGCUGCAUCAUCCAGAGGUCUCCGGCUCAACCUAGAGACCUUCGGCUGGAGGGAGAAGCCGCUGUGGAGCAAGUGACGAACCACCUCCGAGGCCAGUUUUCCGGAGAAUAAGACGUCCGCCAACUUCGCUAUUUGCACUGGCGAGAAGGGCGCUGAGCGUUCACCCAAGCGCAGCCCGGUGUCUCUUUCUUUCCCUUUGUGUUUCCGAGCGGCCCGACACACGACAGAGGCCGGUCGUGCGUCGAGAUUGCCGCUCCGCCCAGAGUUAGCAGAGGAGAGCAAAGUUGGAAGCGAUCGGCGCGCUUGGGAUGUGAUUGUCAUCCUGGGGCCGGCGCUCGAGAGUCUGAGAAAGAGAGGAGAGGAAGAGUCAGGGAGGGAGGAGGGGGAGGUCGGGCAGAGGAGGAGAGGGGGGCGGC